CGGUGCAGUCGGGCUGCGAGGGGCGGCGGCGCCGCCGGCACCGGCACCGGCACCGGCACCGCGGGGGUGUCGCACAACGGCGAUAUGACUGCCUGCUGCGGGGAAGCCCUGCUCUGCACCCAGAGGGGUGAGAGGGGCCCCCAAAGUGGCACUCGGAGCGCUCACGUGGCUGGUGGCGGCAGGUCGUGGAGUUUUGGGAGCCGGGAGCUCACCAGCCCUGCCGACUGCCCGCUGCCCGGCUGGUCGGAGCAGGAGGGGCCGGGGAGCCUGCAGGUGCCCCGGGCCAGGGCCGGCUGGGGGACGCCCCAGAGCCGCCAAAGCAGGGCGCGGGCUGCCGAGAGGGCUGGCGGGGCUGGAUUCAUUGUUCUUGGAAGAAGCUGGGACAUUUGGAAGCGGGCGACGUUUCCUCCCCGAGCUGCGGCGCAGUGGCAAGCCGGUGAGCGGCUGUGGGAAGGAAGGAAGGAAGACUGGAAGAACACAAGAAGAGCAAGUCACUUGUUGGACUUGGAUUUUUUCCUGGCCGCCUCCUAAUGGCCGGAAGCCGGUUUCCAGUGUCGCGCUAGCCUUGGAUGCCCUUGGCCAUAUAUAGUUCUGCUUCAGCCCUUUCUCCGUGCCGUCGGGCUGCCGGCAGCCCCACAUGCCUCCUCCCUCCUCUCCAACACUUGGACAUUUUCACUGCGUUGCGCUCCAUCCCGUCUGCCUGGGGCCUGGGGAGAACCGUGCAGCUACAAAGCCUGGCUGAAGCUCACCGGCUGUCGGAGGUGGCAGGGGAAGGAUUAAGGGCUCGUUUCCUGUGGCUCCGGCAGCUGGGAGGGGAGCAAGGGGUGCAGCGAGCGGCCACGUGCGCAGUGGCACCGAGGCCGUGCCAGCCAGGACAGGCUGGGGACCCGCUCCUGAUGCCAGGGGAUGGAGGGUCCCUCCGGAUGGCAAAAUACUCCUGUGCCAGGUCGAAUAGCCUCAUCCCCCGGCUGAUAUUGGAGGUGCAGUGAGGUGGGGGGAGACAGGCCAUCCUGGGCACGGGUAACCAGGGCUGUGGGCAUGGCAGUGUGUGCAUGGACAGUACUCAUGCAUAAUAAUCUUAUUCUCUGCAAUUUCCUCUGGGCUGCCAGAGGGUCCAGUGCUUUCCAUCUGUGCAAUAAAAAUCAGAUGCUGAGAACGAU